CACCUCGGACUCGCCCGGAGCUCCGCCCUUCCCUUAGCCCACCUGGACGGAAAGGAAACGGACGGGCAGCUCGGGCCACGCCUCUCACUGUGGGCCCCGCGACAUUUCCGGGCUGGGAGAAGCCGAAGCCCGUAACCUCCAGUUCCCCGCAGCUUGAGGCCACCAGCGCCUGGAGAUUUUCAAACACACUCAAAGAGCUGGGAGGAGCCUGGCGGGGCCACGAAGGAGGGCAGUACUGACUCAUCACGAACCUCCAGGGCCCGGAGCCAGGGCGGCCUGGGCCCAGAGCCUCAGUCCCCUGCAGCCAGAUCGCACCUGACUGACCAUCUCAAAAAAGAACCAGAACAAUCUCCUUGUGCUUUCCCUGAGCUGGUGAAGCUGGUAAAAAUCACUGAAAAUGAGGAAAGUAAAUUAACACAAGGAAGAAGCAGGACAAGGGGGAUUCUGUCCUCCUGACUACUGAGUUAACUGCAAUGAAAACAAAGUACAAAGGACUGCUAGUUCUGUGCAUAUAUUUACAUAGAAAUGUGCAAUUUUUUUUAAAAGGGGCCUUCCUGGUGUUUCUUUACUUAUGGGUUUAAUUUUUUAUCUCCUCAAUGUCCACCAGGAGGGCUCUGUUAAUAUUUACGUCGUGGGCCUUCCUGAGGAUGAGUUCAUUUCAGUCAUUGCUAAUCAAC
ensembl:lncRNA